rnacentral:rRNA from 1 species
UAAGCCUGUGAAGGUGGCCUGUGAGGGUUGCUGGAGGUAUCAGAAGUGCGAAUGCUGACAUAAGUAACGAUAAAGCGGGUGAAAAGCCCGCUCGCCGGAAGACCAAGGGUUCCUGUCCAACGUUAAUCGGGGCAGGGUGAGUCGACCCCUAAGGCGAGGCCGAAAGGCGUAGUCGAUGGGAAACGGGUUAAUAUUCCCGUACUUGGUGUUACUGCGAAGGGGGGACGGAGAAGGCUAUGUUGGCCGGGCGACGGUUGUCCCGGUUUAAGCGUGUAGGUGUGUGUUCCAGGUAAAUCCGGUUCACUUUAA